CCACUGGUGGUUCAGUGGUAGAAUUCUUGCCUUCCCUGUGGGAGACCCGGGUUCAAUUCCCAGCCAAUGCA
rfam:Loxodonta africana unplaced genomic scaffold scaffold_66, whole genome shotgun sequence.